rnacentral:rRNA from 1 species
GUGCAGCAGUCGCGAAAACUCCGCAAUACGCGGGAGCGUGACGGGGCCAUCCCGAGUGCCGUCCGCUGAGGAUGGCUUUUCCCCAGUGUAGAUAGCUGGGGGAAUAAGGAGAGGGCAAGUCUGGUGUCAGCCGCCGCGGUAAUACCAGCUCUCCGAGUGGUGGGGACGUUUAUUGGGCUUAAAGCAUCCGUAGCCGGCUGGGCAAGUCCCCUGUUAAAUCUAACGAUUCAAUCGUUGGAUUGCGGGGGAUACUGCUCGGCUAGGGGGCGGGAGAGGCCGACGGUAUUCCCGGGGUAGGGGUGAAAUCCUAUAAUCCCGGGAGGACCACCAGUGGCGAAGGCUGUCGGCUAGAACGUGCCCGACGGUGAGGGAUGAAAGCUGGGGGAGCGAACCGGAUUAGAUACCCGGGUAGUCC